rnacentral:misc_RNA from 1 species
CUCCAAGGUUGUUGAUUAGAAUAUAAAUCCAAACAGGCCAAAUACACCCAAAAAAUUUGAAAAUACGCUGUUUGACUUAAUAAAUUCUGUAUUUGCUUUAUAUAAUACCAUCUUUUAUUUACUAAUUCGAAAUAAAUCCAUACUUGAAAUGUUGGAGAGAGAAACAGGAAGAUAGAAAAAUAUUCCAGAAACAGUUGGUGAAUCCAGACGCGGCAACAGAAAAGAAAAGCCAAUUCAUCAGCAUCAAGCAAGGAGCACCUCCAGUGCACACUCUUCACAGUUAAAUGGUUAGUGCCUUCCGGGUUAAACAAUACUCGGCCAAUCCAAACUGUUCAAACAUUACAUUUUAACGGAGCUUGAUACAACACUAAAAAAUUUUCUGAAACCUCAACUAUAGUUAUCCUCGGAAAUUAACACAUGGGACAGAAUGGUAUGAUACAAUGUACAAAUCAGCGAGUGGUAUGUCAUGUUCCAGGCAUUGCACAAGGAGAAAAUCAUCAUAUCGGACAAAUCCAAUCAAAACCUAAUGCCCUAAGACAUCUUGAGGUUUACAGGAUGCAACAAAUGCUGGUAUGUUCCCAACAAAUGCUGGUUUAGUUGGGCACACACCUAAAAGCUGCCAAUCAUAAAAUGAAAUCUCAAAUUAACAUUCAGGAAGCGACUGAGCGGAGGCAAAUGGGGAGAAACUUGCUGCAGACUCGCUACAAUGCAGUGGCUGCGGUUGAUGACUUGAAGAACUUGAAAAACAAGGCAAGGCAUUACUUGGGCUAGGAAUAUAUGGAGACAUGUAUCUUGAGUUAAGAGGUGAUAUUGAUGGGUAACCCAAGGAGUGGGGUGAAAUUAAAUGAGAAGCAAUUGAUCUUUGCGAUGACACAUGCCUAAGAUCUGCUGAGCGGUGACUUACACUUAGAGAUGGCGAUUGGUGGUAGGACCUAAGAGAUUGCUGGACAUAUGGAGUGCUAGAACGAGGACUAUGAGAAACUGAAGGAGUUCGUGAAAAUGGAAUAUGAGAAACUGAUGGAGAUCGCGAUGAUGUAGGGGCAAUUUGUAUGGCCAGCGAUGAUGUAGAUCUAAAGGAUGACAACACAGAAGAAGAAGCCAUAGAGGCUGGGCUGGAUGAAAGUAAUGGUGUGGAUUCUGAGGCUGGCAGAUCACCAUUGCUAGUUCUUGCAUCACGUUUACAUACUGGGCAAAAAGUUCUCCAUGUGGUAAGCCAGGAGUCCACACAAAAAGCAUGGAAUUUGUGUCGACAUGGCAAAAUCCUGAGCUUUUCCCCAACACUGUAGUCUUCAAGGCAUAUGGCACACGUUCUUGAAGUACAAUUAUCCUCUAGAACAUCUGUAAAUAUUAGGCUUGGCAUUGCUUUCACCAAGCGUCUGCUCAUCCCAUGGAACUCUCGGACAUGAGAAGAACGAGGCCGCUCUGUUCUUAUACGGUGCCUGCGAACAAAGAAACAAGUAGCCAGCACUGCAGACAUGGUCAGCAGGGAAAUAAAAGAGAUUGCCAUAAUAGACCACGCCGAAUUUUCAAAGCUUGGGAUUAACCAAAGCUCCAUGCCACUCAACCCAGCAUACUUCCCGAGUGUUUCACCAGAAGAUUUGGAAAUAAAUACAGCAUGUAUUUUUAUACCAGUUGAAUUCCCUGCCACUGCAUGUUUUGCAUGUAUGCUAAGUUAGGAUUUGCAUAGCAACGAAAACUAUUGUAAUAUAAAUAAGAUUGACAGAGAGGACAGAUUAUUUGUUGUCAUCUAUAAAUGUGAGAGAAUAGACACUCAAAGAAAUUAACAAAAUUAAUGGACCAUGUCCACCUUGCUUUUUAAAAUGGUAACCUGACUGGUCUUUUAACUCAAAAUGGUAUCUUUUCUUAGUCACUCAAGCAAAAUUUAUCACAUUAAGAAUCAUGAGAAUGACAAAUUGAAAAUAUAAUGCAUCAUUCAUCUAAAGAUGAACAAAUCUAGUCAUUGUGCCGGUAUACCACCUCAUAAUGCAAGACAUUAGAGUAACUCCUGCAUCCUUCUACCCUCGAAUAUUUGGAGAAAAAAAAAAUCACAAAACAAAUCUAUAUGUGUAAUGCAGAGGAUUUCUAAAAAACAAACUUAAACUAUAACAUAAAAUAUGAAGAAAACAUCUCACAAAUAAAUUAGUGUUCUAUUAGAUGUUUGCAAUGGGUUGAAAAGAAAAGAAGACACUAUUGCAGUUUGAAAUACAAAUCCAUUUCAGUUCAAACUAUUCUUUACCACCUCAUCUGAAACAAAUAAAGAGAACAUUAUGACACAAGGCAUGGAGGGGACUUCUGCACAGUUCUGAUCAACAAUUUGAUUCAGGUUUCCCACUCCUCCUGUGAGCCUUUUUUUAAAGUUGUGCAAUCAUCAUGAUCUAAGAAACACAUUGAUGCAGAACAAGCUUUGAUGCCAAAUUAAUGUAAAACAUGAAACCAAAAUCAAGAGGAAGAGAAACAAAUUCUCAAAAACUACAUUAAAUCUGAAAUAAGAUAGAGAGAGAAGAAGAGAAGUUGUGAAAAGCUUGAUGAUCUUUCCUUCAAGCUUGACUGAAAUUUAUAGGAUUUACAGGAAUACAAAGAAGGAAGAAAACAGAUUUUAGCCUAACUAAUAGUAAUACAAUCUCACAACAAAUCCUGCUUAAUUAUAGGAACAAAUCAAUGCUAAAUGCCUAAAUCACAGUGAUAUCUUAACAAGUGAAUUUCCAUUUCUAAUGCAUUGUAUUAGACCUGAGGUUGAUUCCUCUAAUCAAGUGCAAGCUUGAUAUUAUUAAUUAGAUCUGAAUCUAUUAGGUUAAUUCUAUUCGUGGAAGUAGCUCGCCAAUAAAUACAUAUUCUGCCUAUUAUAGAAUAACAAACAUGUGAAUGAUAAUUUUGUAGGUAUAUGACAUUUCAAUUUGCUUUUGGUCUCGUAUACAAUCUGCUAAUUUGCCACUCCUGAGUAAUAUUGAUUACUUUUUUUAUUUUUCCAGUUUGAUGUGAUGCAUAUAUAUAUAUUAUUCUUUGAUUCACUUGUUCAUUUAAUUGAUUUCCUUCUAUUUAUAAAUAACACAGUAGAAUUUACUGAUGCAAAUUUUCAAAUGGCCUUUGACCCAGGUGGUCUUGUUCUAAGUGGGGGC